GCCUGGUUAGUACUUGGAUGGGAGACCGCCUGGGAAUACCAGGU
ensembl:rRNA 5S_rRNA 5S ribosomal RNA